GCAGACAUUCCUUGGGUCAGAGCUGUCCUCCUGUAUCCUAAUAGUAAAUCUCUCUGUCACAAUCAGAUUUAGAAAUUUGGUUGUUCAAUAAAAGACUGUCAAAGUUACCAAGAAAAUAGCAUCUCUUUUGGGGUCUCUUUCUCAUCCUGUUGCUUCUUUUUGGUCCAAAACAACCAGUUCAUCCUCUCAGGAAGAAGUUGCAGACCUCCUAAAUGACAAGAGGAAAGGGGUGGUCAGCAGGGAUAGGGAGGUGAUUAUCCCUCUCUACUCUAUCCUUGUGAGGUCCCAUCUGAAGUACUGCAUCUAGGUCUCGAGCCCCCAAUACAAGAAAGACAGGGAGCUGUUGGAGAGGGUCCAGAGGAGGGCCACGAAGAUGAUCAGUGGGCUGAAGCACCUCCCCUACAAAAACAGGCUGAGGAAACUGGGCUUGUUCACCCUGGAGAAAAGGCGGCUGUGGGGUGAUCACAUUGCAGCCUUUCAGUACCUAAAGGCAAGUCAACUCUUUGAAAGGGUAGAUAACAGCAGGACAAGGGGAAAUGGUUUUAAGUUGAAGGAGGGAAGAUUUAGGUUGGAUGUCAGAGGGAAGUUCUUCACUAUGAGAGUGGUAUGGUGCUGAAACAGGCUGCCCAGAGAGGUUGUGGAUGCCCCAUCCCUGGAGGCAUUCAAGGCCAGGCUGGAUGUGGCUCUGGGCAGCCUGGUCUAGUGGUUGGCAACCCUGCACACAGCAGGGGGGUUGAAACUCAAUCAUUGUGGUCCUUUUCAACCCAGGCCAUUCUAUGAUUACAUAUUUUGGGUGGUCUGCAAGUAUGGAGUUGACCAGGGUAACAGUGUGGCCAGUAUUUUCUGAAAUGAUUUAUAUCUUCAGUCCUGUUUCUGUAAUAAGUGGCUGAAACAGACAUUUCUUGAAGGAACUGCAAAUUUAUUUUUUUUUUUUUAUUUUAUUUUUUUCAGAACAGCUGCUUCCACAGUAUCAUCAUAACACAUAAAGUUUAUGUUCCAUUUGGGUUUAAACUUCUGAGGGCAAUUUACUGCAGGGAUGACUUUGUUCGUGCAAAGUGAAUUUAAUUUACAAGCCAUUUUUUGUAAUAAGUCAGGUGAUCAUCAGGUGAUCAUUUUGUGAUUGUUCAGGUGAUAAGGGUCUGGGUAAAACUGCCUAGAAGAUAAAAAUUGGAGCAUGAGGGGGAUUAGAGAAGGAGGACUGAAGUCUGAUAGAUACCCCAAACCACCAUUACUGCAAAAAAGCAAGCUUGUUGUAUUUAUCCUUGCAUUAACAUGAUUUUUCAUGACUCACUGGUUGAACUAGUGGGGAGAUUGAUGCAACUGAAAGGAUGACGUAGAAGUAGAAACGAUGAGUAUUGGAAGUUCAGCUUGCUCCUGUCAGUGGGAGUUCCACUUCUUGGCAGCUUUAGGGGCUUGGUAAAUAGCAUGCGAUGAUGUCUAGAGACAGUCUAUUACCUUGUAUCUGUAUGGCAGAAACAUGCUUAUAUUCUGCACUCCUAUCCUCUUCCUCACCACCUUCUGCAGGGCUUAUGACCUCUAUGUCCUGCUGUAACAGAGUGCUUUUUUUUUGUUGUUGUUCUUGAGUGGUUGUUUUCUAAUCUUCUCUGCAACAGAAAGUUAGCAAAAUCAGAGUGUCUUUGACCAAAUAGUUGAUGGUAACUGGAAAUUCCCCUUUCCUCUAUGGACUGGCUCCUCGAUGUUUGCAGCUCCCCACUGCUGCCUCCAUCAUCACUGUUCUCAGGAGCUGUUUGGCUACAUUUCAGAUGCUGAUCUGACCCUGUCUACAUUUCAAUUUUCAGGAGCUUUUCAGACUUCUGUCCUUCCACAUCAUUGCCUGGCAGCACAUCCAAUCCCUCUUCAGCCCUCCCAGUGGGGGUGAACAUGAAGGAUGUUCAGGAGGGUGGGACAGAACAAGAUCAGAGAGACCACCACUUCUGUCACCAGCUGUCAGGGUGAUUCCUGAUAGGAUUAACAGGGACUUCCUUCUCUUUGGGCAGGGGGAGACUUCUGCCAGACUCGCAAAGUGCAAUGAGAGGCUGAUGUAGUGUUUGUCAGACUGUCCCAUAGAAAUCUUAACACUGUACUGAUUAGUACUGCCAACUCAAAGGAUGGAAUUGUGUCCCCCUAAUUCCGC
ensembl:lncRNA